UAUAGGUUCAGGUUUCAUUUCUGUGUGAGGACAUCUUCAAGUAAGGGUGACAUGUUUCUCAGAAUCUGACAGCUCCUACCUUGAGCUGGUAUUCUGCUUAAUCUGGUAUGUAGCACCUGUGGGAGACCAGCGGAUAAACGGGAAGGUCGUCCCAGGCAAUAGAAUAAUCAGAGCCAGGUGUUAACAGUAUGGUAUGUAGCACCUCCGGAGACCAUCGGAUAAACGGGAAGGUCGUCCCAGGCAAUAGAAUAAUCAGAGCCAGUUGGCAAAGUAAGUUUCUGAGGACACCUAGAGGCAAAGAUGUUGACGGAGUCAUUGCCGAGUCGGGGUGGACUGUAGAGGGUAUAUAUAUACCUAGAGGUGCGAUCUCGAAUUGAAUCUAUUUUUUGAAUAUAAAAAAAACCGUUGGAAGACCAAGGGCCUUGAUAUCAAGUCUGCCUAAUGCGAGUAGGCCUAUAAUAAUAAAUCCCCUUUCAUUCAAAGUUUCCUACUUACGGGAAGGAGAACUUCACGCACGCAUUAAAUGGUAGUAGAGCUCCGCCCUCACGACUACUGGAGGGAGGACUGCACGCACUCAUUCAGUGUAAGUUUAAGUGAUCCAAUUAUAAUAAUAUUUUCCAAUCAUGUUUGCAAUGUCUGCUGUGUUCAUCACACAAUCUCUUCGUCUUCCCUUCUUCCUUCUACCCCGCACUUCCCUUUCCAUCGUAUGUCUUCCAGCAUGAUGUUCUUCUCUUCGUAACAGGUGUCCAAACCAUCGAAGCCUUCCCUCCUGUAUUUUCUUAUAUAUUUUAACUAUCUUUGGCGACAAAUAAACAGGGCGUAGUGGAAAGGUUCCACCAAACCCUGAAAUCUAUUCUUACAAAAGUACUGCUAUGAGCAAGGAGAGGAUUUGGGAUAAAGGGCUUCCCUUUGCUCUCUCUGCUAUACGUAAUCAUCCAAAUUGUUCCACGGGUAUCUCUGUUCGAGUUGAUUUUUGGAUACUAAACUAUGGUCCUCUAGAAAUUUUCCUUGAAUUGUUGACAAAGAAUUGAUUAAGAGUUUAAUCAUAAAGAAUUGAAUGUGGGCGAGUUCUUUGAGGACCUGAGAAGGAGAUUAUCGACAGCCUGGAAAUUUGCCCAGGAUCAUUGAGAAUUGUCUAGGGCCUCAAUGAAGGGAAAUUAUGAUAAAAGUAAUGCACGUUCGUUUGAGCCAGAUGAGGUUAGGUAGUGAGUACGUACAGACGCGGACAAUUUUCUGGAACCUUGGAAGGUACACCGGAAAUAAUCUGAUGUUAAAUAUGAAGUGGAAGCUUUUGGGACCAAACGGAAAGUGCCGGAUAUUCCAUAUCUAGACAAGCAAAGUCCUUAUCGAUUAAAUCCAUUAAAGCGAGAUAUUGUCGAGGAGGAGAUAAAGUUAUGUUGGAGCAUGAUUUAAUUAGACCUUCGGUAAGUCCUUGGAGUUCACCUUUGAACUUGGUAAGAAACCUGACGGGCAGUUUCGCAUGUGUAUGGACUUCUGCAAGGUCAAGGUGAAUAUCAAUAUUAAGAAUGACUUUCCCUUUGCCACGUAUCGAGGACUGUCUUGAUCGGAUAGGGAACUGCUAAAAAAGUGGGUUAUUGGCAGGUUCCCCUAUCUAAUUGAGCUCGUGAGAUUUACGCUUUUGUUUAAUGCCCUUUGGGAUGAAGAACCCAGCGUUUGAUGAACAGUUAUUUGUGGUAAGUUUUGACUGUUCCCCAGGAAGGAUUGGUGGUAGUGGAGGCGAAGUAAAUCAAAUCGCCUACUAAUCUCUCUUCGUGAUUACGAUAAAUAUAUUAAGCCAGGAUGUCUGUGAGCAUUCUGGAAAUUUUGUGGUCCUGGGUGGGUUCCCUGAUACAGCGGUUUCUGCUCCUUUGGUGGAAGUAAGUGCAUUCUUCCCAGGGUAUCACAAGGUGACAGAAUUGGCAGUGGAAAAGCUCCCCAUCCCUUCAGCUUGCAGAAUGAGGAUAAACUAAACUCCGUAGCAAUUAUUACUCAGCUUACAGAUUGAGGAUAAAUUAAACUUGAGUAGUUUAGAGGUAUCGGUGGGUCUCCAAGUAGUUUAGAGGUAGAGACCCGGGGUCUGUAGGUGGUGGUAGUAGCAGUGGAAAUAGUAUUAGUUUUGUAAAUCUGAUAAUUAAUCCUGAUUGUGACUAUAAGUUUUAUUGAAGCUCUGAAAGCUGAAUAGAAUUAUGAAAAGAGGGUACGGAUUAUUUAAUAAAACCAAGGUUCUGUGAAUAGAGGUUUGAUGUAGGUUUAGUUGUCCUAGUGAUUGUGGUACCUACAAAAUAUCAGAAUGAUGAAGUCCUUAGGUUAGCACAUGAGGAAUUACUAAAGCCCCUUUGCAUACAAAUCCUGCGAUUGGAGAGCCUUUUGCAGAGAUUGUGUUGUGGUUGGGCCAUUUCCCAGAAUUGAAUCUGGAUUUACUAAUCUUUGUUCAUAAGCAAAUAAACCUUCGGUCUUGAAAUUUUGUCAUUUUAACUAUAUUGGACAGUCAGGUUUCCAGAACUUUUCGUAUGAGGAAAAUUACAGCGUAGGUGGUUUCCAGGUAUGGGUUGUCUCAUGAAAUUCAAACAGAUUGUGGCACGAAUUUCACGAGCAAGAUGUAUUUCGAAGUAAAUGUGCUGAAGUGGUCAUUGCAUCAGCACAUUACCAGUGUACCUUACCACCCAGAGUGUCUGGCCUAGUGCUAGUGGAAAAGGUCCACCAAAUCCUUAAAUUUGAGUUGAUAUUUGGACACUCAGUACACGUGGUCCUCUUGAAGUAUUCCAUGAAUUGAAUCAUAAGAAUUGAAUGUGGGUGAGUUUGUCAAGGACCUUGGGGAGGUUAUCAGCUGCCUGGAAAUUUUCCCAGGAUAAUUUAGAAUCGUCUCUGGCCUCGAUGAAGGAAAAUAAUGAUAAGAAAAUUAAGGCAGGCUCGUUUGAGCCAGGUGAGUUUCUUUAGUUAGAGAGUACAGACUGAAUUUUCCGGCCUAGGUUAUUAUAAAGGGCCUUGGAAGGUACCCCGUAAAUUGUCUGAUGUCAACUAUGACGUGGAAGCUCCUAGGAUCAAACGAAAGUGCUGGAUAUUCUAUAUCAAAAUACAGGCAAAGUCCUUAUUGAUUAAAUCCAGUAAAGCGUGAUAUUGUCGAGUUGGAAAUUGAUUAGACCUUCGGUGAAGUCCUUGAAGUUACUCGAUACCGCAAGGUCAAUGCUAAUACUAAUACUCCCUUUGCCACGUAUCGAGGACUCUUAAUCGGAUACGGUCUGAUAAGUGUAUAACUAAAGUCGAUCAUUUAAAAAAGUUAUUGCCAGGUUCCCCCUAUCUUGAUCGAGCUCGCAAGAUAUCCGCAUUGUGAUGCCCUUUGGUCUUUACGAAUGUAACGUAAUGCCCUGUGGGAAGAAGAACAUUUGGUAAUUUGCCAAGGGACAAAAAUGUGAGAGAUACUUGUUACAAAACUCACAACAGUAUUGAUGUCUUAACGGUUAAGUAAUUUUUUUUUUCUCUUCUCACCUCGCCCUUCUCAUUUCUUCUUCGUAGUGUUAUGAUUGAGUGGUAGAAAAAAAGCUGUUCUAUUUUUAAAAUACAUGUGUCUUUGAGGGAGGAGGAAGGUAUAAAAUUAACUUAAUUUAUUGAUUUUCCUUUUUAGAAGUCCUUUUAUCAGCCUCCUCCCGUUGCCAACUACCUAAUUAUCGCGUUAACGAAUUUUUUUUUCUCCAAUUGCGGUGGAACCAAGUGCUGUAAGUGGAGGCAUUUCAAAGUGACUAUUGGUCUCAAGCCCUUUGAAGGUAUACCCGCCUGAAGAUAUGAGGAAGACCCUGACAUGUUUUCCCGACAACUGUUGGUCUCAAGACCUUGAAAGAUUACCCCCCUGAAGAUUUGAGGAAGAUCUCCUGACACGUAGGAGUUUCAUUUCGUAUUUUCAUCUUUUGUAUGAGUCAUUCUACAACGUCAAAUAUCAGUUUUUCCAUCACCAAAUUAAACGGGUAUCGA